GAAAUGCCAUUGUAGGCAAUCCUGUUGGCGCAAGUUCAGGGGGUUUUACUCAUGCCAAUUCUGCUAGUUUGGGAGUUAACCUGCCAUUGGCGCAUGCACAGCCACCUGCUUUGGUAUCUGCACCAAUGUUUUUGCCCCAGAGCUCUGAUAGGGUGGACCUGAACUCUCGUCAAUCUGGCUUUCCUCUUGGGAUGGUUGCUCAGGAUGUCUUACAGAAUGGACCCCAGCGGAUGGAGAGCUCACAAGGUGUGGUAACAGAUGAGUUCCCACAUAUUGAUAU
rnacentral:misc_RNA from 1 species